rnacentral:tRNA from 1 species
AAAGAAUUAGUUAAUUUAAUAACAUAAAUAUUGUCAAAUUUAAAUUAUUGCUAUAUGCAAUAUUCUUUU